rnacentral:rRNA from 1 species
CUACGGGGUGCUGCAGUGAGGAAUAUUGCACAAUGGGGGGAACCCUGAUGCAGCAACGCCGCGUGGAGGAUGACGCAUUUCGGUGUGUAAACUCCUUUUAUAUGUCAAGAAAAUGACGGUAGCAUAUGAAUAAGCACCGGCUAACUCCGUGCCAGCAGCCGCGGUAAUACGGAGGGUGCAAGUCGUUACUCGGAAUCACUGGGCGUAAAGGACGCGUAGACGGGUUGGAAAGUCAGGUGUGAAUUCCUACAGCUUAACUGUAGAACUGCACUUGAAACUUCUAAUCUAGAGUAUGGGAGGGGGAGAUGGAAUUAGUGGUGUAGGGGUAAAAUCCGUAGAUAUCACUAGGAAUACCUAAAGCGAAGGCGAUCUCCUGGAACAUUACUGACGCUAAGGCGUGAAAGCGUGGGGAGCAAACAGGAUUAGAUACCCCAGUAGUC